rnacentral:piRNA from 1 species
UAUUUAUUUCAUGGGUGCCAUUUCUCUGUC